rnacentral:rRNA from 1 species
AUCCAGCGGGUGCUUGCACCUGCGAAGAUCUAGUGGCGAACGGGUGAGUAGCACGUGAGCAACCUACCCCGAAGACUGGGAUAACACCGGGAAACCGGUGCUAAUACCGGAUACCCCCAUCGGAUCGCAUGGUCUGAUGAGGAAAUGGAUUCCGCUUCGGGAGGGGCUCGCGGCCUAUCAGCUUGUUGGUGGGGUAAUGGCCUACCAAGGCUUCGACGGGUAGCUGGUCUGAGAGGACGAUCAGCCACACUGGGACUGAGACACGGCCCAGACUCCUACGGGAGGCAGCAGUGGGGAAUCUUGCGCAAUGGGCGAAAGCCUGACGCAGCAACGCCGCGUGAGGGACGAAGGUUUUCUGAAUUGUAAACCUCUUUCAGCAGGGAAGAUAAUGACGGUACCUGCAGUAAGAAGCACCGGCUAACUACGUGCCAGCAGCCGCGGUGAUACGUACGGUGCAAGCGUUGUCCGGAUUUAUUGGGCGUAAAGAGCUCGUGGGCGGUUUGAUAAGUCGGAUGUGAAAUCCCC